rnacentral:misc_RNA from 1 species
GUGAAUCAUCGAAUUUUUGAACGCAAAUUGCGCUUCCUGGCAUCCCGGGAAGUAUGCCUGUUUGAGGGUCAGUAUUAAUAAAAAUCGGUUUAGUUACAAAUUUUGGCGUUUACGUAGUUUGUGCUAUCUUAACAUUUUUGGUUAAGAGGCUUAAAAUUGACGUUUUUUGUGCUUUUUUAAACGUACAUAACUUUUUUUUAUUCGUCUAUUUUUAAUGCCAGAAUUUUAUUAGAUGAGAUUACUUCGU